rnacentral:rRNA from 1 species
GAGGGCGCGCGGCGGAUGCCUGGGCGGCCAGAGCCGAUGAAGGACGUGCCCGGCUGCGAUAAGCCCCGGGGAGCCGCCGGGACGGCUGUGAUCCGGGGAUCUCCGAAUGGGGCAACCCACCCGGGGUCAUGCCCGGGUACCUCGGCCUCGCGCCGAGGAGGGAACCGGGGGAACGGAAACAUCUCACUACCCCGAGGAGGAGAAAUCAACCGAGAUUCCCCAAGUAGUGGCGAGCGAACGGGGAACAGCCCAAACCGUUGCCGUGAAGAAGCCUGCUGGCGUUGCGGCAACGGGGUUGUGGGACCUUCCCGGCGGGGCAGCAGACCCGCCACGGAGUGAUCCACCGCCCCUCCACUCGAACCCCGUUGGAACGCGGGACCAGAGACGGUGACAGUCCGGUAGGGGACGGAGGGGCGGCUCCGCGAAGGCACCCGAGUACCCCGGGACACGUGGAACCCUGGGGGAAGCUGGGGGGACCACCCUCCAAGGCUAAAUACUCCUGGCGACCGAUAGCGCACCAGUACCGUGAGGGAAAGGUGAAAAGCACCCCGGAAGGGGAGUGAAAGAGAACCUGAAACCGCGCGCCCACAGAGUGUCGUUGUCCCGAGCGUGCUCGGGAUGACGGCGUGCUUCGUGUAGCAAGAGCCGGCGAGUCGCUCUCGCAGGCGGGUUAAGCCGCGAUCCGGCGGAGCCGCAGGGAAACCGAGUCCGAACAGGGCGCCCCCGCCCCGGUCGGCCCGGGGCGGAAACGUCUGCGGGAGCGGACCCGAAACCGGGUGAUCUUCCCAUGGCCAGGGCGAACUCCCGCUCCGCUCGGGAGGGAGGCCCGAACCCAUCGUGGGUGCAAUCGCGUGGGAGGAGCUGUGGGAAGCAGCGAAACGCCAAUCGAACCCGGAGAUACCUGGUUCUCCCCGAACUGCGUACUGCGCAGCGUCGGGUGUUCCGUGGCGGCGGUAGAGCACCGGCCGGCCCGCGCCGGCCGAACUCCGAAUGCCGCCACGCCAAGCCCGGCAGUGCGACGGCGGGGGGGAGCUCCGCCGUCUAAAGGGAAACAGCCCAGAUCACCGGCUAAGGUCCCCGA